rnacentral:lncRNA from 1 species
AAAUGUUUACAUACUUGCAUUAACUAAAUGUUCCAAGUUAUUUUGUUUUGUAGUAUCAUCUUUUAUUAAGUCACGUUGUCUCAUGUGAUUGGGCAUUAAUUGACAAAAAUUCAAUCAAAGAUAUAAUCUGACUGGUUUACAAAAAAAAAAAAGAUAUAAUCUGACUAAGUAGAGUUGUGAUAACCAUGGUGGUUGGGUGUGGAGGGUGAGAAGUUAUAAACAAACUGAUCCAAUUCUUUUCUUACUUGUCGCUGUUACUCGUCGGUAGCCACAAAGACUUUUCUCAUCCACCGGUCUUGCAAGAGUCAGACAAGACAAGACUGUGUAAAGAUGGUCAAUUAGCUAAAAUCUUA